GGGCGGGGGGUAGGGUCGGCGCGCGGAGCUGUCCACGGUGCUGAAGGCCGCGGGUGCGCCAGCGACCCGCGCCCUUCAACUUUCCCGGGCUUCCCGGAUCGGAGAAGUUUGGGUUGAGGGGAUGGGGCCCCCAGCCCCGCUAGCAGCUCUGCUGACUUUGGGCACAAGCCAGGGCCGGAAGCGCUCCGUGUUGCAGCCCCGCGGGCUGGCUGAAGACUGGCGUCCUCCAGACGCUGGCUCUGGUCAUUUAUUAUUAAUCGGGGGAUAUGUCCUUCAAGCUCGUGUCGUGGUCACUUACCGAGUUUGACAACAUACCCUAGCCUCAGAUUAUCCUGGGGCGGGGUUGGGGGGAGGUAGCAAAAAGCAAAAUAAACUUGAGUCUUCCGGCAAAGGACCAGCAAAAUGAGCCCUUGGAAAUAAUUCAUGUGCUGAGGGGGCUGGCAGGAAGCUGGGAGAAAUGUUGCUUUUCUCUGCCUUUUCCCCAAAUAGCUGUCUCAGUAAACACCCAGCACUUUAGCUCUGUCAGCCUCAAGGGAGGCGCUUCUAUGCCUGCAGGGACUCACCCUGGAGCCUGAGGGACUUUGGACGGAACUGCUUCCGUUGUAGUGUGUUGGGGGCGGUGGCUGGUAUCUGUGGGUCUCCUUCCCCACCCAGCCCUGAACUGGGCUUGUGAAUCUGCAGUGUUCCCCUCGCGGUGCAGUGAUUCGAGUUAGCUCACAAAGUCCACGAGGUUGAAAAUCGUCAGGACAAAGAUGGGGCUUUCAGAAUAAUCCACUGCUGAAACUGCAGCUGGGAGAGAAAUCAGGCUUGUGAAUGAGGCCAGGACAUAAGGACUACGCAUGAGGCUUGUGGAAAAUGAGUUUGAAAUCUGCUCUGCCUGCUGGCAGCAGAACACCCUUCCAGACCUCAGAUGGCAUUCGCUUGCAUUCCCUGGGUAGAAUCAGGAGGAGAGCUGGAACCCAGGGACUUCACCCACUUAGACCUGUGGAUGUGAGCCUAGUGGAGGGGCCUUACGAAUAAGGCCAUGUAGUUUUGUCUUGUCAGACUGAGUGCAGAGGUAAUAGGUAAAUCCACCAGGGAACGCAUGCCCAGGUGAAGAGUUCACUUAGCUCCUGCGUGGGCAGGGGCGGAGGAGGGCAGGGCUGGGGGCUUCCCUAAGCUGAAAGCAAGCUCAGCACCUUCCUGAGUCAGCACCAGCCCCUCCCUGCCUGCUCCACUGGGACUGUUAUUUCUCUAAAACAGCAGCCCCGGAGGUUCUUUCCUUGUCGGGCAGGAAACGGCAUCCAUCUCCUGAGUGGGCCUGG
rnacentral:lncRNA from 1 species